UCAAAAAAAAAAUUAUAUUUAUAUGUAUAAUACAUCAGAACACGAACAUAAUCUUUAUAUACUUACAAAAAAUCAUCUACAUAUAUAUGUACAACGAGGUCACAGAACUAAAUAAUCUUGUUGUUUUAUACGUUUGUUUAUAUCAAAGAAAUGUAAAAUAAAUACUUAAAAAGUUCUUCUAAUGAGACGAUUAUACGCGAACGAAAUGUUAUACGCAAUUGUUACGUGUGUGUAUCGUAUGUAAUUGCAUUCUCGAAAACGACUUAAACAAUUAAAACUUCUAUUAAGUUUCCGAAAAAUAAUGGUUGAAAAAUAAAAUUAGUUGUUUGUAUCAGUAUUUAAAAAUUCCCCUGCAACAGUUACAAUUUUUAGUGCGCUAUAUAAUAACAGCCACGUUUAUUUUACACCAUUACAACCAUAUCUUCCAAAUACACAAUCACCGAUAAUAUUCGUGUGGGUCCUGUAACUGACUUGCAUCAAGAAAAAAGCAAAGAGAUUUAAAUUGUAUUUGGAUUUCGCGUUAAAACUGAGUAUAUUAAGCAUCAUAAUCAGUGUCCAAGCGUCCUAUCCAGUUUCGUGAUCCUAAAUUUAAAAUUAUUCAAUGCAUUUUUAUAAACCACAACUUCAGUGUCUCCCGUAGAGCCAAAAGCGAAGUAUAGGGUUGACUUAUGAUCUGCCCGUUCAGUAAGUAAGUUUGUGCAGCGUCCAUACCGUAAGUGUGACACAAAGUACGCUAUCAACAAUUGUAUCAGAGGUGUUACAAGAGAUGUGUGGAGUGGAUCCAAAGGAUCGUAAACAGGGAUUCGAAGAUAGAGUUUUGCCAGAAAUGUAGUAUUCUGGGCGGGAUGUGUUGAUGGAAAGCAUACAUGUUUUUCAAAUCAAAAUUUGCGAGCAUGAUAUUAAAAUCAUGCCGGUCAAUUUCAAAUUUCCCGGAUUUUCCCAUGAUUCGCAUGUGUGGAAACAAUCCAGUCAAAGCUUACCUCGGCAUGAAAGCAAUGCUUGGCUUCUCAGUAAUCGAUGAAAAAAAAAAAAAUUAAAGAGCCAAAAACUACAUCGUUCUUAUGAUGAUAGUGGAUACGCUCUGGAGCCUUAGCCCUUGGCCUUACCAAAGUUCGGCGAAUUUUCUUAAAGAAAAGUACGAAAUCCAUUGUAAUUCGAGAAGCACUAUGGAAAUAUGCAUUGAAGUAUAAAGAUCUGUAUUACAGUAUUUAGUAUUUCGAAAAUCUAACUACAAGUUUUGACCAUUUCUAUAGGUUGCUAGCGUAUUUUACAGGAAGAGCGGAAGAGGUGCUGCAGCCCAAUGGUUAUGAGAAGAUGCAAGAAGAUAAUUUGAAUACCCCCACACUGGCGACCUGCGAAGAUGACGGUGUGAUAUUUUGCGGAGACAUCUCAAUUGAAGCAAUUGGUUGAGGAAAUCAGAAGAUUGCUGGUACAAGGAUUUUAAAUAUCAUAACAAUGCCAAAAAUGUAAAUAAUUUUUGAAGUUAUAACUCGGACAAAAAUUUACAUAAAAAUGAUGUGAACACUGAACGUAUUAAUGCUUGUUUU